rnacentral:Y_RNA from 1 species
GGCUGGUCUGAGUGCAGUGGUGUUUACGACUAAUUGAUCACAAUCAGUUACAGAUUGAUUUGUUCUUUCUCCAGUCCCACUGCUUCACUUGACUAGCCUUAA